rnacentral:lncRNA from 1 species
AACUGCGAAAAGGGUUUGGCUGUAACAUCAUAGUUUAUUAAUCCUUCCAACUAGGAAAACUCAGAAGCUAAGUAAAUUCUGUUAGUAGCAAAGUUGCAAAUUUUGUAGAAAUAUGUUGAUUUAUUCUUUUAAUGCAAGUCCCUCGGAUGGCCAUUCCUCCGCCCCACCCCCCCCCAUAAGAUGCUUUACCUUGAAGGCUUCCCUCUCUUUUCAUCUUAUCUGCAUUCUCCUAAACCCCACAAGGACGG